AGUCCCAGGGGAGGGAGUCAGAGCUAGAACACCAAUUACAAACCACAGGCUUCCUGCUCUAGGGAGUUGAUCCAGAAUUGUCUUUCUGAAAGGAAGCACUCGGAAUCCUUCCGAACUUUCCAAGUCCAUCCAUGAUUCAGAGAUACUGCCUUCUCUCUCUCUGGGAUUUUAUGUGUUUCUGAUAGUGAAUUGUUGAUGUAUUUGCUACUUUGCUUCUUUUCUCUUUCAAGACUUGAUCAUUUUAUAUGCUGUUUGGAGAAAAAAAGAACUUUUGUUAGCAAGGAGGUUUCAGAAAUGAUUUUGGAUUUUCUGCUGCGGAAUUUCUCGGCACCUACCUGUAGUAUGGGGCACUUGGUUUGGUUGCAGAGUAAGAAGGUGGAAGAAUGAGCUGUACUUGGUUAAGCAGUUGAAACCUUUUUUGAGCAGGAUCUGUAAAAGCAUAAUUGAAUUUGUUUCACCCCCGUGGAUUCCAGUGGGCCCGACAGCGCAACAGGUUU
rnacentral:lncRNA from 1 species